CAGCAGCCGCCGCGGGAAUACAGAGGGUGCGAGCGUUAAUCGGAUUUACUGGGCGUAAAGCGUGCGUAGGCGGCUAAUUGAGUCGGAUGUGAAAUCCCCGAGCUUAACUUGGGAAUUGCAUUCGAUACUGGUUAGCUAGAGUGUGGGAGAGGAUGGUAGAAUUCCAGGUGUAGCGGUGAAAUGCGUAGAGAUCUGGAGGAAUACCGAUGGCGAAGGCAGCCAUCUGGCCUAACACUGACGCUGAGGUACGAAAGCAUGGGGAGCAAACAGGAUUAGAUACCCGAGUAGUCCCUGUCUCUUAUAC
rnacentral:rRNA from 1 species